AGGAAGGCAGCAGGCACGCAAAUUACCCACUCCUGGCACAGGGAGGUAGUGACGAAAAAUAACGAUGCGAGACUCAUCCGAGGCCUCGCAAUCGGAAUGAGUACACUUUAAAUCCUUUAACGAGGACCAAUUGGAGGGCAAGUCUGGUGCCAGCAGCCGCGGUAAUUCCAGCUCCAAUAGCAUAUACUAAAGUUGCUGCGGUUAAAAAGCUCGUAGUUGGAUUACAGUUCUGGACUGACGGUUCACCGCCAGGUGUUUACUGUCACGCUCCGAACGGCUCAAAAGGCCCCGCCGGCUCACACGGGGUGCUCUUCAUCGAGUGUCCCGAGUGGCCGGCAUGAUUACUUUGAAAAAAUUAGAGUGCUCAGAGCAGGCUACUUUUAUGGCCUGAAUGGUGGUGCAUGGAAUAAUGGAAUAGGACCUCGGUUCUAUUUUGUCGGUUUUCUCGGAACCCGAGGUAAUGACUAAUAGAAACAGGCGGGGGCAUUCGUAUUGCGACGCUAGAGGUGAAAUUCUUGGACCGUCGCAAGACGAACUACUGCGAAAGCAUUUGCCAAGGAUGUUUUCAUUAAUCAAGAACGAAAGUUAGAGGUUCGAAGGCGAUCAGAUACCGCCCUAGUUCUAACCAUAAACGAUGCUGACUAGCGAUCCGCCGGCGUUAUUCCCAUGACCCGGCGGGCAGCUUCCGGGAAACCAAAGUCUUUGAGUUCCGGGGGAAGUAUGGUUGCAAAGCUGAAACUUAAAGGAAUUGACGGAAGGGCACCACCAGGAGUGGAGCCUGCGGCUUAAUUUGACUCAACACGGGAAACCUCACCAGGCCCAGACACUGGAAGGAUUGACAGAUUGAGAGCUCUUUCUCGAUUCGGUGGGUGGUGGUGCAUGGCCGUUCUUAGUUGGUGGAGCGAUUUGUCUGGUUAAUUCCGAUAACGAACGAGACUCUAGCCUAUUAAAUAGUCGGCGGAUCUCCAACAAUUGGUGUCCAGUCCGCAACUUCUUCUUAGAGGGAUAAGCGGCAAUUCUAGCCGCACGAGAUUGAGCAAUAACAGGUCUGUGAUGCCCUUAGAUGUUCUGGGCCGCACGCGCGCUACACUGAAGGGAUCAGCGUGUUGUCCCUCUCCGAGAGGAGCGGGUAACCCGUUUAAACCCCUUCGUGAUAGGGAUUGGGGCUUGCAAUUGUCUCCCAUGAACGAGGAAUUCCCAGUAAGCGCAAGUCAUCAGCUUGCGUUGAUUACGUCCCUGCCCUUUGUACACACCGCCCGUCGCUACUACCGAUUGAAUGAUUUAGUGAGGGCUUCGGACUGGCGCUCUUGGAUGUUCGGCUCCCUCAUUCUUGGGUGUGAGUCGGCGCCUCGAGUCGACGGAAAGAUGUCCAAACUUGAUCAUUUAGAGGAAGUAAAAGUCGUAACAAGGUUUCC
rnacentral:rRNA from 1 species